CUUCCUCAGCCUUACUCCAGGGGGCUUUAUUUCUGUAUAGUGCCCUGGCAUUGCCUGAGGAUAAAUCGAAAGUAUGCUCAUUUCCCUCCCCAGUAAGAUUUUCAAUAUCCUUUGGGGCCUACACUUUGAGCAAACAUU
ensembl:snoRNA